GCUUGGUGGAUCAGUGGCGAACGGGUGAGUAACACGUGAGCAACCUGCCCUGGACUCUGGGAUAAGCGCUGGAAACGGUGUCUAAUACUGGAUAUGAGCCUCUUCCGCAUGGUGGGGGUUGGAAAGAUUUUUCGGUCUGGGAUGGGCUCGCGGCCUAUCAGCUUGUUGGUGAGGUAAUGGCUCACCAAGGCGUCGACGGGUAGCCGGCCUGAGAGGGUGACCGGCCACACUGGGACUGAGACACGGCCCAGACUCCUACGGGAGGCAGCAGUGGGGAAUAUUGCACAAUGGGCGGAAGCCUGAUGCAGCAACGCCGCGUGAGGGAUGACGGCCUUCGGGUUGUAAACCUCUUUUAGCAGGGAAGAAGCGUGAGUGACGGUACCUGCAGAAAAAGCGCCGGCUAACUACGUGCCAGCAGCCGCGGUAAUACGUAGGGCGCAAGCGUUAUCCGGAAUUAUUGGGCGUAAAGAGCUCGUAGGCGGUUUGUCGCGUCUGCUGUGAAAUCCCGAGGCUCAACCUCGGGCCUGCAGUGGGUACGGGCAGACUAGAGUGCGGUAGGGGAGAUUGGAAUUCCUGGUGUAGCGGUGCGAAUGCGCAGAUAUCAGGAGGAACACCGAUGGCGAAGGCAGAUCUCUGGGCCGUAACUGACGCUGAGGAGCGAAAGGGUGGGGAGCAAACAGGCUUAGAUACCCUGGUAGUCCACCCCGUAAACGUUGGGAACUAGUUGUGGGGACCAUUCCACGGUUUCCGUGACGCAGCUAACGCAUUAAGUUCCCCGCCUGGGGAGUACGGCCGCAAGGCUAAAACUCAAAGGAAUUGACGGGGACCCGCACAAGCGGCGGAGCAUGCGGAUUAAUUCGAUGCAACGCGAAGAACCUUACCAAGGCUUGACAUACACCAGAACACCGUAGAAAUACGGGACUCUUUGGACACUGGUGAACAGGUGGUGCAUGGUUGUCGUCAGCUCGUGUCGUGAGAUGUUGGGUUAAGUCCCGCAACGAGCGCAACCCUCGUUCUAUGUUGCCAGCACGUAAUGGUGGGAACUCAUGGGAUACUGCCGGGGUCAACUCGGAGGAAGGUGGGGAUGACGUCAAAUCAUCAUGCCCCUUAUGUCUUGGGCUUCACGCAUGCUACAAUGGCCGGUACAAAGGGCUGCAAUACCGUGAGGUGGAGCGAAUCCCAAAAAGCCGGUCCCAGUUCGGAUUGAGGUUUGCAA
rnacentral:rRNA from 1 species